GGGGGGGGCAAGCGUUGUUCGGAAUUACUGGGCGUAAAGGGCUCGUAGGUGGCCAACUAAGUCAGACGUGAAAUCCCUCGGCUUAACCGGGGAACUGCGUCUGAUACUGGAUGGCUUGAGUUUGGGAGAGGGAUGCGGAAUUCCAGGUGUAGCGGUGAAAUGCGUAGAUAUCUGGAGGAACACCGGUGGCGAAGGCGGCAUCCUGGACCAAUACUGACACUGAGGAGCGAAAGCCAGGGGAGCAAACGGGAUUAGAUACCCCGGUAGUCCUGGCCCUAAACKAUGAAUGCUUGGUGUGGCGGGUAUCGAUCCCUGCCGUGCCGAAGCUAACGCAUUAAGCAUUCCGCCUGGGGAGUACGGUCGCAAGGCUG
rnacentral:rRNA from 1 species